rnacentral:lncRNA from 1 species
UCUGAGCCCUCGAGUCCUCUCUUGUCGAAACCCCUCCCGACUCCCUUCAAUCCUUCCAAUCACUAUUCCAUUCUCCUUUUUUCUAGAAAUCUGAGAUUCUAACAAUGUCGAAGAGGAAGACGGCUACUGGCAAGCAUCCCAGCAGCUUUCAAUCAGCUCAAAAAAGGUCCAAGCCAUAGAGGGAAGCUCCACAAGGGUCGUCGUCCAUUUCUCCCCC